rnacentral:lncRNA from 10 species
CCUCCUCAGUUGGCCGAGUCGUCCCGCGCGCACCGCCUCCGCGCGCCUAUGAGAAUGAGGUGGUAACGGGCCCCCGGAUGACCCCGCGUCACCACUGUGAGGCCUACAGCUCUGCCGGGGAGGAGGAGGAGGAGGAAGAGGAGGAGAAGGUAGCUACAGCAAGCUGGGUAGCAGGCAGAUCCAAAGGAUAUCAUGAAGUUUCCAGGGCCUUUGGAAAACCAGAGAUUGUCUUUCCUGUUGGAAAAGGCAAUCACUAGGGAAGCACAGAUGUGGAAAGUGAAUGUGCGGAAAAUGCCUUCAAAUCAGGUAAUGAUUUUUCUCUUAAGACAGAUGAAUUUUAUUAGAAAUAAACAUACUACUGCCAUACAUAAUAAUAUCUUGACACUACAU